AAGAUGGGCCAGUUUUUGAUGGAGAUAAAAAUGUGAAUGCUUUGGGACCAGCAGAGGGUGUAAUGGUUAUGUCGCUGGACCGCAUGUAGUUGACUGCGGUUGGAGUCGGGGACCAGUGGCUUAAAACAACUGCCUGGUCCAUGUACGUGCUUGACCAAAAUCCCGAGAGGAGAGUGGAGGAGAAGGGAUUGGGGCAAGGUCAUCCUGGAAGGGGGGAGAAUUUCUUACCUUCUGACUCUGUCUCUCUCUGUCUCAGGGCGAGUGCACACACCCUAUAGCAAAAACCUCUCCAAAAAAAAAGUGAACUUUUUUUGCUGCCACAAGAACACAUAUAGAAACUCUGUACGAAGGACUGGAUUUACAGACUUGUGUUCAUCAAUGGCUGUAACCUUGGGCGAUAUUGGAAUAUCGGGGCCCCUGCUACCUGGUGUCAUCCAGGAGACAGUGAGAGAGGGACAGAGCGAGAGAGAGAGGAGGGAAGUGAGAAGGCAAGAAUGUGAAGAAUAUCAAAUAUGGAACCGGCAGAUGGCAUGGUGGUUAAGGCACUGGACGUCCAGUAAUUGAAAGUUCU